rnacentral:rRNA from 1 species
GAUGAACGCUGGCGGCGUGCCUAAUACAUGCAAGUCGAGCGAACAGACGAGGAGCUUGCUCCUCUGACGUUAGCGGCGGACGGGAGAGUAACACGUGGAUAACCUACCUAUAAGACUGGGAUAACUUCGGGAAACCGGAGCUAAUACCGGAUAAUAUAUUGAACCGCAUGGUUCAAUAGUGAAAGACGGUUUUGCUGUCACUUAUAGAUGGAUCCGCGCCGCAUUAGCUAGUUGGUAAGGUAACGGCCUACCAAGGCAACGAUGGUUAGCCGACCUGGGAGGGUGAUCGGCCACACUGGAACUGAGACACGGUCCUGACUCCUACGGGAGGCACCAGUAGGGAAUCGGCCGCAAUGGGCGAGAGCAUGGCGGAGCAACGCCGCGUGAGUGAUGAAGGUCCUCGGAUCGUAAAAAUCGUUUAUUGGGGAAGAACAAAUGUGUAAGGAACUAUGCACUGCUUGACGGUACCUGGUCAGAAAGCCACGGCUAACUACGUG